GUGGGGAAUCUUGCGCAAUGGGCGAAAGCCUGACGCAGCGACGCCGCGUGAGGGAAGAAGGCCUUCGGGUUGUAAACCUCUUUCAGGGGGGACGAAGCCACUCGGGUCAAUAGCCCAGAGGGUGCCGGUACCUCCAGAAGAAGCCCCGGCUAACUACGUGCCAGCAGCCGCGGUAAUACGUAGGGGGCUAGCGUUGUCCGGAUUUAUUGGGCGUAAAGAGCGUGUAGGCGGCCUGGAAGGUCCGUUGUGAAAACUCGAGGCUUAACCUCGAGACGUCGAUGGAAACCUCCAGGCUAGAGUCCGGAAGAGGAGAGUGGAAUUCCCGGUGUAGCGGUGAAAUGCGCAGAUAUCGGGAAGAACACCCGUGGCGAAGGCGGCUCUCUGGGACGGUACUGACGCUGAGACGCGAAAGCGUGGGGAGCGAACAGGAUUAGAAACCCUAGUAGUCC
rnacentral:rRNA from 1 species